UACAGAGGGGGCAAGCGUUGUUCGGAAUUACUGGGCGUAAAGGGCGCGUAGGCGGCCUUCUAAGUCGAACGUGAAAUCCCCGGGCUCAACCCGGGAACUGCGUCCGAUACUGGAAGGCUUGAAUCCGGGAGAGGGAUGUGGAAUUCCAGGUGUAGCGGUGAAAUGCGUAGAUAUCAGGAGGAACACCAAUAGCGAAGGCAGCUCGCUGGGACGGUACUGACACUAAGGCGCGAAAGCGUGGGGAGCAAACAGG
rnacentral:rRNA from 1 species